UUUAUAAAUAGUUUACAGCAUAUGAUGGAUACCUUGGUAUUUAAAAGUGAAGAAGGACGUAAUUUGUUACGAUAUUUUUUAGUAAGUAAAAAUUUAACUUUAAUCUAAAAAUUUCCGAAUAAGGUAACUUUUUAUACUUUUAAAAAUAAAAAAGAACAAACAUAAUGAACUGAAUCAUCUAAGUAAUUAUAGGAAAAGAAAAUAAAAAAUGAUUUUCUUAGUAGCGGCGAGCAAAACGAAAUAAGUCUAAACUUUAUUAAGGGUUGUGGGAUUUUGUAAUUUUAUUAAAUUAUUUAAGUAGAAUAAAAUUUUUUAAAAAAAAUACCAUAGAAAGUUAAAGUCUUGUAGUUAACUUUAAAUUUAAUUAUUAAUUUCCCAAGUAGCAUGAAACACGUGAAAUUUUGUGUGAAUCCACGAAGACCACUUCGUAAGACUAAAUAUUAUUAAAUAUCCGAUAGUGAACUAGUACCGUGAGGGAAAGGUGAAAAGAAACCUGAAAAGGAAGUGAAAUAGAACGUAAAAUCAUUUGUUUACAAUUCAGUAGAAAAGCUCUUAAAAGUUUAACUGCGUUCCUGUUGAAGAAUGAGCCGGCGACUUAUAUUUAAUAGCUUGGUUAAAUUAUUUAUUAAUGGAGCCUUAAUGAAAGUAAGUCAAAAAUGACAUUUGUUAUUAAAUAUAGACCCGAACUCAGAUGAUCUAACCACGAACAGAAUGAAGUUUAAAUAAAAUUAAGUGGAGGUUCGAACCGACUAAUGUUGAAAAAUUAGCGGAUGAUUUUUGGUUAGGGGUGAAAUGCCAAUCGAAUCUGAAGCUAGCUGGUUCUCCUCGAAAUGUGUUUUGGCGCAGCAAUUUAGGUUUAUGAUUUGGGGUAAAGCACUAUUUUAGAAGACGUUAGCAAUAAUAGUUUACUUUUAUAAACUCAGAAUACUUUCUAAACAUUAAAUUAGUAAGACUUUGUGGGAUAAGCUUCAAUGUCAAGAGGGAAACAGCCCAGAUUACCAGAUAAGGUCCUUAAAUAUUUACUAAGUGAAAAAGGAGGUUAAUAAACGUAAACAAUUAGGAGGUUUGCUUAGAAGCAGCAAUCCUUUAAAAAAUGCGUAACAGCUUACUUUUUUAGUUUAUUAGCACCGAAAAUAAUUGGGGCUAAGUAAAUUACCGAAACUGUGAGAUAUUAUGAAUAUCGGUAGGGGAGCGUUCUAUUAUUGAUUGAUGCAUUAAUGAAAGUAAAUGUGGACAAAAUAGAAGUGAGAAUGUCGGCUUGAGUAACGAAAACAUUAGUGAGAAUCUAAUGCUCUGAAAACUUAAAGAUUCCUUUGAAAGAUUCGUUCGCAAGGGGUUAGUCAAAUUCUAAGAUAAGGUCAAACGACGUAGUUAAUGAAAAAUAGGUUAAUAUUCCUAUACUAUUUUUUAUAAAUAAAAAAUGACGAAAUAUGCUAUCUUUGCCGAAUAAUGGUUAUCGGUUAAAAUAUUAAAAAUUUAAAUGAAUUUAUAAAAUUCGAAAUAAUUAUAUUUUUAAAGAAUAUUUUUAUAUUAAAUUAAGUUAGGCUAAAUUUCCAAGAAAAAUUUAUAUUAUUAUUAUAAAAAAUAUUUGUACUAAAACCGACACAGGUAAGUAGGUAAAAAAUACUAAGGAGCGCGAGAGAACUCUCUCUAAGGAACUCGGCAAAUUAACUCUUUACCUUCGGAAGAAAGAGUGCCUAAUAGGCUACAAUAACAAGAUUCAAACGACUGUUUAACAAAAACACAGGUUUCUGCUAAGUUGUAAAACGAUGUAUAGAAGCUGACACCUGCCCAGUGCCAGACGGUUAACGAAAUUUAUUUAAACUUUAUAACUAAAGCCCUGGUGAACGGCGGCCGUAACUAUAACGGUCCUAAGGUAGCGAAAUUCCUUGUCGGGUAAGUUCCGACCCGCACGAAAGGUGUAACGAUUUGAAUGCUGUCUAUGAGAGAGACUCGGUGAAAUAGACAUGUCUGUGAAGAUGCGGACUACCAAUACCAGGACAGAAAGACCCUAUGAAGCUUUACUGUAAUUAAAAAUUUAUUUUAAGAUAUAAUUGUGCAGAAUAAGUGGGAGUUUAAAAUAUUUUAAGCAACAAUGAGAUACCAUUCUUUUAUAUUUUAGAAUAUAACAUUUUUAAAAUUUAAUGGACAAUUUUUAAUAGACAGUUUGACUGGGGCGGUCACCUCCUAAAAAGUAACGGAGGUGUGCAAUGGUUUUAUUAAUUCGGUCAGAACUCGAUUAAAAUGCAUAAAGGUAUAUAAAAGCUUGACUGUAAGACAUACAGGUCAAACAGAGACGAAAGUCGGCCUUAGUGAUCUGAUAAUACUAUGUGGAAAGGUUAUCACUCAACGGAUAAAAGUUACUCUAGGGAUAACAGGCUAAUCUUCCCUAAGAGCUCCUAUUGACGGGAAGGUUUGGCACCUCGAUGUCGGCUCAUCGCAUCCUAAGGCAGCAGUAUGUCUUAAGGGUUGGGCUGUUCGCCCAUUAAAGCGGUACGCGAGCUGGGUUCAGAACGUCGUGAGACAGUUUGGUCCAUAUCCGGUAUUGGCGUUAGAGAAUUGAAAAUUUUUAUUUUUAGUACGAGAGGACCAAAAUAAACAAAUCGCUGGUGUAUCAGUUAUUAUACCAAUAGUAAAUGCUGAGUAGCUAAGUUUGAAAAGAUAAUUACUGAAAGCAUAUAAGUAAGAAGCUUAAUUUAAGAUAAAUUCUCUUGUUUUAGAGGUUCUGAAUAGAUUAUUCAGUGGUUAGCUAUAUUGUAUACAUUUUUUAAUAAAUUUAGCAUAUAUAGACUAAAAAACCAAUCAUUUAUAAGUAUG
rnacentral:rRNA from 1 species